rnacentral:rRNA from 1 species
GUUGUACAGCUCUAUUGUCCGAGGAAGAUACUGAUCGCUGCGCGCUGAUAACCCCCGGCUAACUCCGUGCCAGCAGCCGCGGUACUACGAAGGGGGCUAGCGUCGCUCGGAAUCACUAGGCGUAAAGCGCACGUAAGGCGGGCUAUUAAGUCGGAAGUGAAAUCCCAGGGCUCAAACCUGGAACUGCCUUCGAUACUGGAAGUCUCGAGUCCGGAAGAGGUGAGUGGAACUCCGAGUGUAGAGGUGAAAUUCGUAGAUAUUCUGGAAGAACACCAGUGGCGAAGGCGGCCACCUGGCGAAACAUUGACGCUGAGGCGCGAAAGCGUGGGGAUCAAACAGGAUUAGAUACCCUGGUAGUCCACGCCGUCAACGAUGAAUGCUAGAUGUUCGGAGAGUUAACCCUCUGAGUAUCGCAGCUAACGCAUUAAGCAUUCCGCCUGGGAAGUACAUGUUCGCAAGGCUGAAACUCGCAGGAAUUGACGGGGGCCCGCACAAGCGGUGGAGUCUGUGGUUUACUUCGAAGCACCGCGCAGAAACUUACCUGGUCUUGACAUCCCGCGAAGACUGCAGAGAUGUCGUCGUCCCUUCGG